ensembl:lncRNA
UGUGUUUGUGUUCAAGGGCAGCGGCGCCAGAGCCGCAAACAAGCGACUCGUUCCGCUCGGAGGAUUUAUUAACACACACGGAACAGAGAGAGAAACUUAGUCCACAGGGUCCGAAAUCCAGAGGGUCACUGGUGAAAGCGGUUCGGCCGACGUGGCAGCAGUUUGAAUAAGAGAAGAUGAGGAUCAGAAAGGUGACGUGUCUUCGCAAACUGGGAGUCAAAGACAGUGUUUUUACAGCCGAGUUUGGUCCCCAGGUAGGACAAUAAGACGGAUGUUCUGGUAAAACACCAAAAACAGUGUCUAACUGGGUGAAGCAGUGAAAUGCUGCUCCAGGUACAACGAGGCACGAACUCAUCGUCACGGACUUCCAAUAACCAGAUGCUAUUUGGGUUUUGGGUGAAAGUUGUUUUUUCACAUUUGACGUUUCACUUUGUCUGAAGUUGUCCCCUGUCCCCCUCAUGUAACAACAAUAACUGUAAAAUAACACCUUUUAUUCCUAAAACACCAUCAAUCUACUCCACGUGAAGUCUGGAUUUCAUCAAGUGUCAUUAUUUGAAGAGCAAAACAGAACUUGCUCUCUUAGAGAAGAUCCGAAUUUCCGGCUUAAUGUUGUAAACUGAAAAUAAAAAUGAACAGAACUACUUGGAUGUUUUGUAAAAGAAACAGUUUGGCAGUAAUCUCCCGCUGGACCAAAUAAACAGUCAAGCUUUGUCUUUUCUUAAAUAACGGCCAGACGCUGCAUGUGUGUGUCUGUGUGUGUUUGUGUGUGUGUGUGUGAGGAUAAUCGCCCUGUGUGUGCGUGGCGGGUGUGGAGAUCUAUCCAUCACGUGUCCCAGUAGAUGCACUAAUCCGUCACGUAAUAUGGUGGUAUAGAAUAAUCACACCUUCCCUACACCCUCAUGUCCCCGAGGGCCCCGAACACACACACACACACACACACACACACACACACACACACACACACACACAUAGUGUAUGCUGCAUGUACACACUUUGUCCCCCGCUGGCAUGAAUCAAACGAGACUCGCUCAGUCAACCUGAUUCACGAGCCGGAGGAAGCUGAGGGCAGGUGGGCUAGAACCGCACACACACACACACACACACACACACACACACACACACACACACACACACACACACAUACUAAAACACACUUCUUACUAGUGUGUGAAGGCAGGGUUUGUUUCUGCUACACACGUCGAGAUGAAUUUCCUACUCUAAUUAAAUAAUAAGGAAUCAUCUCAGCAGGGAAAUUAUAACAAAACAAGUGAAGACAGAAGUGUGUGUGUGUGUGUGUGUGUGUGUGUGUGUGGAUGUGUUUGUGUGUGUGGAUGAGUGUGUCUCUAUCUUCAAAGAACUGAGGUGGGGGGGGGGGGACGCUACUUGUGCCUUCCCUCUGGUGUGCAAAUGCAUUUAGCACAAUUGAAUUUAAAGUGAUUUAAUUCAUUAAGUUCCAAUUCAUCAGAUUCCACAGUACAAGUAUUCCUGUGGCUGUUUGAGUAAAAGGAUCUUGACCUUUAUGGUCAAAGGUCACACGCCGCCGACCUCCGGGGCAGCGAGGGCCGAUAAUAUACACGAUGUGGACAAAGAUAGUUUUCAGGAAGUAAAUCUAAAGUUAUUCAUCAAAAAAUUAAAACAAGUUAUGUAUCUGUAGGACUAUGGGUUGACUAUGGGGACACAAUAGGGGGACAAUGGAGGGACUAUGGGCGGACAAUGGGGGGACAAUAGGGUGACUAUGGGGGGACUAUGGGGGGACUAUGGAGGGACAAUGGAUGGACAAUGGGGGGAUAAUAGGGGGACUAUGGGGGGACAAUGGAGGGACAAUGGAGGGACUAUGGGGGGACAAUAGGGGGACCAUGGAGGGACUAUGGGGGGACAAUAGGGGGACCAUGGGGGGACUAUGGGGUGAUAAUCUGAUCCAGACUGUCACUGUGGAACUCGUUUCUUUCUCAGCGCAGUGACAGUUUACAGGAAACGCUGCACUGUUGAUCGGCUCCUACAAGAAGAAGACGUUUGUGUGUGCGUGUAGAUGUGUGCGUGUGCGUGUAGAUGUGUGCGUGUGCAUGUAGAUGUGUGCGUGUGCAUGUAGAUGUGUGCGCGUAGAUGUGUGCGUGUGCAUGUAGAUGUGUAUGUGUGCGUGUAGAUGCGUGCGUGUGCAUGUAGAUCUGUGCGUCUGUUUGUGUAGAUGUGUGCGUGUAGAUGUGUUUGUGUAGAUGUGUUUGUGUAGAUGUGUGCGUGUAGAUGUGUUUGUGUAGAUGUGUUUGUGUAGAUGUGUUUGUGUAGAUGUGUUUGUGUAGAUGUGUGCGUGUAGAUGUGUUUGUGUAGAUGUGUUUGUGUAGAUGUGUUUGUGUAGAUGUGUUUGUGUAGAUGUGUUUGUGUAGAUGUGUGCGUGUAGAUGUGUUUGUGUAGAUGUGUUUGUGUAGAUGUGUUUGUGUAGAUGUGUUUGUGUAGAUGUGUUUGUGUAGAUGUGUUUGUGUAGAUGUGUGCGUGUAGAUGUGUUUGUGUAGAUGUGUUUGUGUAGAUGUGUUUGUGUAGAUGUGUUUGAGUAGAUGUGUUUGUGUAGAUGUGUUUGUGUAGAUGUGUGCGUGUAGAUGUGUUUGUGUAGAUGUGUUUGUGUAGAUGUGUGCUCGUUGGCCUUUGCAACCCUCAAAAACGAAUCCUAUUCAUUAUUUGUCUGUGUGUGUUUGUGUAUCUUACAUCUGUUUGUGUGAGUUGUCAUUCGAGACGUAUGUGCUUGUGUUUGCAUGAGAAAGAGAAGUGCGCUCUCUCUCCACAAGCCCUUUAUUUAUUCAUUGCAUCCUUUCAUCCUUCCUCCUCUCCUUCUUUGCUUCCUCCGCCUCCUUCCACAGUCCUUCCUCUCCGUGUUGCUUCCUUUACUUCUCUCAUUGUUCCUCCUUCUUCCUCUCAGAUGUUCUCACCAUUGUGGUUUCUUCUCUCCGUCCUUCAUUCCUUCCUUUAUAUCUGUUCACUUUUCUUCACGCUCCACAUUCCUCAAUUACUUCACUCACGUUUGGCUUCACUCUUCUGUCUGAACGUGAUAACUGAACUGAUUUUUCUCUUUAUUAAAGUAACUGGUGCAGGUUUCAUGGUAGAAGGGACACAAUCCUCGGCCUCGGGCUCCUGAUAAAAUAGUAUUUUCAACUUCCUGCCAACUGGGAUUUGAUCAUAAAUAGCAAAACAGAGCGAACGAAUGUCGACUCUGCUGCGGUUAAGUUCUCCUUCGGUCGCUGCUGGAUGGAAGUAUCUCCUCCAUGGACCAUAGAAGCUCUGUGCUGUAGUCCACACAUGCUCGUUGAGCUCUUUGUUUCUCCUUCCUGCUUACCGCUCCUCCAUCUCCUCCCCCCGUCUUCUGUUUCCUCCUCCACCCGCUGUACCCGUUUCAUCUCCCGUCCCAGGAGGACGUUCACGCUGCAAACACAUCCUUCAUGCGCUGUGUGUUGCUCUUUGUGUUGCUGUGUGUGUUGCUGUGUGUGUUGCUGUGUGUGUUGCUGUGUGUUGCGGUAGAGUGUUGAGGUGUGUGUUGCUGUGUGUGUUGCUGAGUGUUGCUGUGUGUGUUGAGGUGUGUGUUGCUGUGUGUGUUGCUGAGUGAAUUGCUGUGUGUGUGUUGCUGUGUGUGUUGAGGUGUGUGUUGCUGUGUGUGUUGCUGAGUGUCUUGCUGUGUGUGUGUUGCUGUGUGUUGCUGUGUGUGUUGAGGUGUGUGUUGCUGUGUGUGUUGCUGAGUGUGUUGCUGUGUGUGUGUUGCUGUGUGUUGCUGUGUGUGUUGCUGUGUGUGUGGAACAAUCCACAGUUCUCAACACGUUCUCUGUGUUCUUUCACCGUAUUUCUGUAUCAGAAGCAACGUUUAAGGAACUUCAAGAACCCCUGAGUGGACCUCAUUUCCAGCCUCACUAGAAACUAAACCCCUGGAACCUCCUUCGAUUGGUGCUGUUUCACAGACUCCAGUGUGCAUCAUGCAGACCUGACUGAAUCUCUUUGAGAACUCUCUACAUCCCCUGAAGGACCACACAUAUCCUUCAAAGGCUCCACUUGACCCAUUGAAACAUCUCAAAAACGCUGACAACUAGCACCUCCUUGAGAUUAGAACAUCACAGACUCACAGACUGUAACCGAGUCACAGGCGCCAGCUCGGGGAUUCCUACAACCUCUUUAGAACACAAGUAGUUCUGCAGAAACCUUCAUCAGAGACCACUAGAACCUCUGAAGGGACUAUACUUCAACUUCUCUCCAGAAGAACCUGCACAUGAACCCUUCGUACAACUUUCAACUGAAUACGCCUGAUGUUUAUUGUUCAUAGGUGUUUGUAACAACUUAGAGGCCUGUUGGGAGUCUUUCUGGGUCCUUCUGGAGGAGCACUGGAUACACGAGAAACCUUUAAUUCCCCAAAGAAGCCUGGGCCUUCUCCAUGGAUUAGAACCCCCGAAGGACCGUGGAAUCCCCCAUGAAACCCCCCAUGAACCCAUUAGUGCCCCUCAGGGACGGCUUUCAUCUCGCCAACCACAUCUUCUGGAGCCGCUGGCACCUCCGUGGUAACAGGCAUCGUCAGACACCUCCGGGGCGCCUACUGCAGAUCCCCGUUUCAUCAGCGACGCGUCCUUGUGAGCGCGCCGCUCGUGCCGCCCUGCACCUCCAACGUGCUCAUCUGUGCACAGCUGCAGCCGCAGCGAGCUAACAGCGGAUUAUCGCGAUGCGCCCGCACACCUGACACCUGACCGGAGCGCCAUCAGGAAUCCACCACUGUCCACUCCACUUGGUUUUCCUGCGUUUCUUGGUUAUCUUACUGUUUUAUUUUGUUGCCUCGCGCCUCUUGACAACGUGUUCUCUGGCCGCCGCCUCACGCCCGCCAUUGUUAAUUAAACAAACAGACGCUCCUUUGUUUCAGUGUUCACGCGAGCGUUUAAUGAGACUUAAAAUUCACAUAAAAUACACACGCCCUUGCAGAAGCGUGUGUGUGUGUGUGUGCGUGUGUGCGUGUGUGUGUGUGUGUGUGUGCGCUGAACAGAGUCCAGACAAUGUUCCAGCAGCAUUGUGAGGAUUAAAACAGAAAGUAAACAGCAGCUGGUGUUUUAAUUCACAGCGAGCGGCUUGUUAAAGUGGGGGAGAGGAAUUUGACACAAAACUCUUUUUUGGGGUUUUUUAUAAAAGUAAAUUCUGUCCACAGUAUUGUGAAUGAGAAAUUGUUAAAGAAGUCAAGCGAAUCCUUUUCACGGCGUGUACAACCGGAUUGUUCCAUAAGGGGCCUGUUUUUCAAGCUAAUUCUACAUAAACUGGGGGGGGGGUCCUGAUGGCUCCUGACUUCCCUCUGAACAGAAAGGAAACGAUCAGAGCUCAUCAGGCUUCCUGCUCUUGUUUUUACUAAGGAGUCUUUGCUGUUCCGUCAGCCGGUCCAUGAAAUCCUCUUUGUGGUAUUUUUUGACAGCAGAUCAGUUGGAAAAUUGAACCGAUCCAAACAGGACCAGUCGGUGUUAAACAGCAUUUAAUCCAGACACCAAUGAACAGGAGGCCGAGGCAACAAACGCUGAAAUCACCCGCUUCAGUUACGAGGAGAAUUCAGGCAAAUUCACAGAAUUUCCUUUUUUUUUUAAAUUAUCUGGGGACCGUUUGAAUCGUGUUGAAAUCUAUUUGGGGGCCUCAUGUGGUGUCAACGCAGCCGAAGGGGUUCAGUGCUGAAAGUGUGUGUGCGUGUGUGUGUGUGUGUGUGUGUGUGUGUGUGUGUGUGUGUGUGCUGGUCUCAGCCACUCAGCAGAAUGGGGAUGGAAGAUUUACAAUAGCUGAGAGUGGUGUGAACAUCAGUAAUUACCCCCCAAGCCCCCCAUCCCCCCCCUCUUUGAUCUCAGACUAACGAGGAGGAAACGAGGUGCUAACGAGCUCAGGCAGGCUGAGGAGGAAAUCACUGCAUGGGAAAAGGUGUGUGUGUGUCUGUGUGUGUGUGUGUGUGUGUGUGUGUGUGGAGGUCGGAUCUGAGUAGAAAGGCGCCGGCAGCCAAACAUCUAUGAAAGUUGGACGCAGUGACGUCCCCCUCUGGUUUGCGGACCGCCGUUUGGACCACCUCGAGUCUCCACAUUGUGGGCGGGGGCACCUUUUGGCCCCGCCCACAAUGUGGAGCUGAGUGAAACCAAACGCUGCAGAUUUACAGAGAGUUACAGUUGACUUGCGUGAACCAGCAACCCGUCAAUCAAAGGGUAGCCCCGCCCUGAAGCGUUUAGGCUUCACAGUCCAUCACCCCGUCCAGCAGGGUAAUCAAUCCGAGGACUUCCUGUGAUCCACCGCCCACACGCACACAUGCAACUAUACCAGUUCCUCUUCAGGCCGAGAGCGCGUUCCGAUACGAGUUUGACUCUGAGAGCCGGAGGAGGGACGGAGCCGAUCGAAGGCCAUUGAUCUUUGGUCACAAACCUCCAAUAGUACAAGUGGAAGUCUGUGGUUCAGGGCGCUGAUGUGCUGCUGAUGGGAAACGCCUGUGGACGUUCGUUCGAUGAUCUGAGCCCAGGUUCUGUUCUACAUGUUCUGACAAUAAGUCGGUUCAUGUUUGAUGUUUGUAGAUGCAAAGUGUAAACACGUGUGUCGUGGUGAUGAAGUGCAACCUGCCCAUCCAGUAAAGGAGAUUCUGUCAUCCGGUUUCCAGUAUUUUGGUAAUAUUUCCUUCUCCCAAGUCGUCGUUCUUGCCUAAAACCAACCAUUGGUGAAUUAGUUAUUAGGGAAUUUAGAACUUCGUUUUCACAUCAAUCAAUGCCUGAAACCUCCUAGUUCGAAUCCAUGCACGCUGUGGGUCGAUGCAUCUCACGCUACCGCCGCCAAAGAGGGCAGUAAAGACCGUCAAACAACACCUGAUUCCAUGUCUGCUAGUGUGACUUUGGUGAAGCAGAGUGCCGCGGCGUUUUACUAAAACAUCGGAAGGACAAACAAAAUAAGAUCUAAUUAAAAGCUUGUCAGGUUGCCCGUGGAUCACAAACGCACCCUUUGGAUCUUCCCGUGUUGAUUGAACUUGGACGUCCACCAGUGCUCAUUGCUUCUGCGUCCUGUGUUUACACGGAUUAAUGAAUAACAGCUUUGGUGUAACAAUAAUUAUGGAAGAAAAUCAACACAACUCAGUCCAGGAUCUCACGCAGCAACAUUUUCACGUCCUCGUGGCGCCGGGCCUCCUCGUGGGACCCCACAGUGGUUCCUCUAAAACAAUAGUUCUGCUUUGGAUUUUCUCAGUGAAUUGGGGCGUAAGAAGGACGGAAUAUACGUGGAAGCACCUUGACACACACACACACACACACACACACACACACACACAAUAAGCAUGCAGCUUGCUUCUCUUUGUGCGUUUGUCUGUCUCACUCACACAUUUUCAUGCACAGACGAGGUCUCUGCCGACCGCGUCUUCUCCAAGGUUUGUGCCAUAAAUACUGAGCACUGACAUCCGAGGGUUCUAAAAGCCCUGUGUGUGUGUGUGUGUGUGUGUGUGUGUGUGUGUGUGUGUGUGUGUGUGUGUGUGUGUGUGUGUGCGUGCGUGCGUGCGCGUGCGUGUGUGUGUGUGUGUGCGUGCGUGUGUGCGUGUACUGUAAUGUCACAAACACAAAAGUAUGGAGGCCUUUCAAAAGGUGGAAAUGAACCAUUUGCUUUGUGUUCAGGGUUUGUUAAGUGGAGUGAAGGCUGUGCACGUAUGUGUGUGUGUGUGUGUGUGUGUGUGUGUGUGUGUGUGGAUCCUACGUGAGGUUAUCAGGGAGUUUGUGAUGAAAAGGUCCACUGGAGAAAUCAAACUGUCGUGUGCGUCGCCUACGACGCGCCGGGACGACAAAGGUCUCGCCCACACGCCACGCGCGCUGACACGCGUGUAAAAUGUUCAUUCCGUGUGUGAUUUAUUCAAAGACGCUCACACGCCAAACACUCCAGUAGAACAACGGCGUUGGUUUGGUACAAGCGAGAACACAGACGUCUUUUAACGGUUUCAGAUAAUAAAACAGAAUUAACAAGACGGCAGAAGAGAGUGAGAUCGUGCAAACACGCAGAGAACAUGUGAACUCGACAAACCUUUGAGUGGCGAGUAUGAAGAAAAGGAUUGUAAAACAGCGAAGGUUCUGACGCAGUCAACAGUCACUAACGGCCGAUUCGGCACAUUCUUCACAUUAAAUAACGAAAGCCGCAGAUCAACGAGCUUUCAUUUUUUCGGCUUUGAUGGGAAAUCGAAGCCAUAUGAGGUCGUGACACGAAGCAACGACCUGAAGCCGAGUUCCUCCCUUGGCCUCCAGACUUCCCUCCCGCGGUGAUGAGGCGGAUUACAGGAAUGAAGUGUCCUCCAAUUAAACACGGAAGGCUUCCUCUGGUUGGGAGGAAGCUUUUUGGGGGCGAAAGCUGUGGGAUUUCCUUCCUCAUCCUGGGAAGGUGAUGCGCAACGCGCUAAUUGGGACAAAGUAAGGGGAGAAAGUAAUCGUGUCUAAACCCAAAAGCUGUUUCAACUUCCACAGCUGAUUCAGUUUCUUUCACUGACUCGAUUUUUCUGCAUCCGCUUGUUUUUUCUUUCUUUCGUGGCGCUGAUGAAGUUUAUUAAAGACGAUGAAUUGGCAGAAGCCCCAAAGUUAGAGCCGCCCGCUGAGCGCCUCUCAGGUAAAGCGCGCGCGCCCCAUCUGCCGCUCGGCGUGUCACUCACAGCGAGCGCCGUCUCCAAAUGACGUUCAUCUCCCCGCGCGAUCCAGGCGGCCGGAUUUCUCCGUCGUGGGACAGAUGUGGUUUGACGGACAGGUCUUGGCGGCUGCUGGAGAACAAACAGAGCCACUGUGUCUCUCUGCCGGAGGCUGAUGGAGCCCAUCGGUUAUUUUAUAGAGGGUGUUUUUCAAGAAGGUGGCAGGAACCAACUGCAAUGAGUUCAUUGUCAGAUACGGAGAGGAUGCAGACACGUGGUCAGCGGGCCGAAGCUCCGCCCCCACGGAGCUCCGUCCGCUCAUUGGUCGGAUGGAAAUGACCGGGCAUUGGAGGCUGUCGCGUGGACUGGGAAAGGACCAGUGGGCGGGACCAGCUGCGUGAGCUGGGCGUGUCCACAACACUCCCCGUGCAUCGGGGUCAUUGGGGUCACACUUCAGCAGAGUUUUAUUCGCUCAGAUCUUCGCUUCUUCUCCAUCACAACUUAUUUUAAGUGCAGGAG